CAGUAGCCGCGGUAAUACGGAGGGAGCUAGCGUUGUUCGGAAUUACUGGGCGUAAAGCGCGCGUAGGCGGUUACUCAAGUCAGAGGUGAAAGCCCGGGGCUCAACCCCGGAACUGCCUUUGAAACUAGGUGACUAGAAUCUUGGAGAGGUCAGUGGAAUUCCGAGUGUAGAGGUGAAAUUCGUAGAUAUUCGGAAGAACACCAGUGGCGAAGGCGACUGACUGGACAAGUAUUGACGCUGAGGUGCGAAAGCGUGGGGAGCAAACAGGAUUAGAUACCCCCGUAGUCUCUGUCUCUUAUAC
rnacentral:rRNA from 1 species